CCAGGCCUCAGGCUGGGAAACUGAGGUCUUGGCUUGGAAAUAAUAAUAAUUAAUGAUAAGAAAGAAAAGGAGGCUACCACAGGGCUUGCACGUCCACCGUAGCUGAGACAGCUGCACUGUCUUCCUGAGUGGCGUUUGUACCCAGGUGGUUCAAUUAGGAGCAGUUCGCAGCGAGCAGCUAGCAGGAUGUGGAUGCUUGGCUGAAAUGGAGUAAGCCCACAGAAGUUGGAAGAGGCAUUGCAUCCCCUGGAACUGAAGUCACAGACGUUGUGAGCUGCCAUGUGGGUGUUGGGGAACAGAAUCUGGGUCCUGUGCAAGAGCACUCUCCGGACCAGCCCUCAAGGCUGAAGAGAAGGUCGGAAUUAUCCAGAGAAGGACUUUACAAUAGCCAUAAAUAAUAUGAAAUAUUUUGAUGUAACUCUAACCAAGCAAGUGAAAGACCCAUAUGACAAGAAUUUCAAGUUGCUGAAGAAAGAAACUGAGGAAGAUAUCAGAAGAUGGAAAGAUAUCCCAUGCUCAUGGAUAGGUAGGAUUAACAUAGUAAAAAUGGCUAUCUUACCAAAAGCAAUCUACAGAUUCAGUGCAAUUCCCAUGAAAAUUCCAACACAAUUCUUUACAGACCUUAAUAGAUCAACUCUCAACUUCAUUUUUUUUUUAAAUCCAAGAUAGUUAAAACAAUCCUGUACAAUCCAAGAACUUCUGGAAGUAUCACCACCCCUGACUUCAAGCUAUACUACAGCGCAAUAGUAAUAAAAACCAUAAGGUGUUGGCAUAAAAACAGGUUGAUCAAUGGAAAAGAAUUGAAGACUCAGAAAUAAAUACACACACACACCUAUGGACAAUUUGACAAAGAAGCCCAAACCAUAUAAUGGAAAAGGAAGAGCAUCUUUCAUAAAUGGUGCUGGUUUAACUGGAUGUCUGCAUGUAGAAGAAUGCAAUCCAUAUCUAUCACCCUGCACAAAACUCAGGUCUAAGUAGAUCAAAGACCUCAACAUAAAACCAGAUACACUAAGUCUAAUAGAGAAAGUGAGGAAACUCCUUGAAUUCAUUAGCACAGGAAAUAACUGAACAGAACACCCAUAGUUCAAGCACUAAGAUGAACAAUAAAUGGAACCUGAUGAAACUGAAAAAGUUUUUCAAGGCUAAGGACACCACCAAUAGAACAAAAAAGCAGUCCACAGAAUGGGAAAAGAUCUUCACCAACCCUGCGUCCAACGAGGACUGAUAAUUCAAAUACAUAAAGAACUCAAGGAAUUAGAUAUCAACAAAUCAAGUAAGCCAAUUGAAAAAUGAAGUACAGAGCUAAGCAGAGAAUUCUCAACAGAGGAAUCUCAGAUGGCUGAGACCCUUAGAUGUUCAACAUCUUUAGUCAUCAUGGAAAGUCUUUCUGCUUCUUCUGGUUAAGUUGUUCUGGAUUCUGGAUGUUCCAGUUUCUGAGAUGAUUCUGCUGGGCAAUCGGUGCUGACAGCCCUUGACUAGGCACCCCGCUGCUGCCUUUUUGAACACGCUCACCUUGCUUUUCCAGCUCCUUCACACAGUCCUUCCUCUUUUCCAAGUCCCUGGGGAAGUGGUAGGGGUAGACCCGAAGGACAAACCACCUACAGUCUAAUUUUUAAAUAUCUCUUUUAUUAUUUGUGACAUUUCAUACAACUUGACUCUUUUUUCCUCAUUAAUAUAAUUCGGGCUACUUAGGAAAUUAACCUGAGCAAUACUCAAAAAAAACAUCAGUGAAGCCACCUAUUCCAAGGCAGCCCACUGCUGCUGCUAGCAUGUGAGCCUAGUUUUUGGAGAUGCCUAGUUCCCCUUGAGAACACUAUUCUCCUGUCUUACCAUAGGAGAUGGCAACAGCCGAAAGGCCAAGUCUAGCUCACUUGGUGUUUCUAUGAUUUGUUUUUUGAGAUUGGUCUUGUAAGUAUCUACAGAAGAGGCUGGCCUUGAACUCACAGAUAUUCAUUUGCCUCCAUCUCCCAAGUGUUUGGAUUAAAAACGUGUGUCCCCACUCCCCAUUAUAAAUAAAGUUUUAUUGGA